rnacentral:rRNA from 1 species
CCGCGGUGAUACGUAAGGGGCGAGCGUUGUUCGGAAUUAUUGGGCGUAAAGGGCGCGUAGGCGGCUUGGCAAGCCUGGUGUUAAAAACAACGGCUUAACCGUUGGUAAGCGCUGGGAACUGCCUGGCUAGAGGUCUGGAGGGGGAGCUGGAAUUCCUGGUGUAGGGGUGAAAUCUGUAGAUAUCAGGAAGAACACCGGUGGCGAAGGCGAGCUCCUGGCCGGACUCUGACGCUGAGGCGCGAAAGCGUGGGGAGCGAACAGGAUUAGAUACCCUGGUAGUCCACGCUGUAAACGAUGUGCACUAGGUGUCUGUCUGUAGAGGAUGGGUGCCGAAGCAAACGCGAUAAGUGCACCGCCUGGGGAGUAUGCUCGCAAGGGUGAAACUCAAAGGAAUUGACGGGGGCCCGCACAAGCGGUGGAGCAUGUGGUUUAAUUCGAUGAUACGCGAGGAACCUUACCAGGGCUUGACAUAUACAGUGAAGCGUGUGAGAGCAGGCUGCCACUUUUGUGGACUGUAUACAGGUGCUGCAUGGUUGUCGUCAGCUCGUGCUGUGAAGUGUUGGGUUAAGUCCCGCAACGAGCGCAACCCCUGCUGUCUGUUGCUACCAGGUAAAGCUGAGGACUCAGGCGGUACUGCCGGUGACAAACCGGAGGAAGGUGGGGACGACGUCAAAUCAUCAUGGCCCUUAUGUCCUGGGCUACACACGUGCUACAAUGGCGAGUACAGAGUGAAGCGAGACCGCGAGGUGGAGCAAAUCACAGAAAGCUUGUCUCAGUACGGAUUGGAGUCUGAAACUCGACUUCAUGAAGGUGGAAUCGCUAGUAAUCGCGCAUCAGCAUGGCGCGGUGAAUACGUUCCCGGGCCUUGUACACACCGCCCGUCACACCACCCGAGUUGGGGGUACCCGAAGUCGCUUGUCUAACUGUUUACGGAGGACGGUGCCGAAGGUAUGCCUGGUAAGGGGGGUGAAGUCGUAACAAGG